UUCUGUUAUCUUCUUGUUAGGCACAUUUAGAGUCUGGAUGUUGAAUUAGGUACUUCUGCUAUGCCUGGACUACAAAAGUCAAUAUAGUUGAUGUUCAUCAGUCUUUCUGGAUUGUCCACCUUUCAGUUGGGUUAAGCCUCUUUUUCUAUUGUAUGCAAAUGAAACAUACUUGAUGUACCUCUGGUACGAUAAAAGAUAUCGCCCUUUCCUUUUGUAAAGUUUUCUGCAGAUGAUGUUGUGGAGGUUGAUUUAAGAAUUUAUGUGCUCAUUAGUUCAUUACUUCCUUUACCAUUAGAAAAUGGUGUAUAAGUGUUGCAUCUGACCCUAUUUUGCCAGGAAAUAUGAAUGAAGUGAUAGUACUUGCAAACAUGGACUCCUCUUCGCUGGACGAGGAUAACUAAAAUACUAAUCUAGCAGGCAGUAAUUACAUGACUGAUCUCGGUUUUGUACAUGUUAGGUGAGCAUUAUCAGUUUUACUUCCCAUAAGAGAGUGUAUUUUAGUGCUGCAGAUUGUGUCUAUUUAAGAGCAAGAAGCCAAAUCAUGUUGUUCAUUGUAAAUCUUGAAAAACUUGUUGUUUAUUGUCACUUCUAUCUAUGUUAUAAACUUUUGUUCCUAGUGUGGUACUUGUCAAUCUUGGUUUGCCCUUCAAUUGCAGCAGACCAAUAUGUCCUUGUUUCUUCAAUUGAUUCCUCAUUUCAUGUCUGCACUUCUAUUACAGUAGAACAACAUGUUAUAAACAUGGCGCUGGGCAUUGUUUGUCCAGUUGCCUUCAAAAGAGAAGAGAUGGCUAUAGAGUGGAUCCAUCACUAAAGAGAUGACAAAUGUGGUGCAAGGCAUUGUUUGUUUAGCUUCUUUAAAAAAUGAAGGAAUUACAUUGCAUUUGACCUAUAAAGGGGUUGUGAAGGACAAAAUGCUAUGGAUCCAGAGUGGGAGGCAGAGUUACGAACAACGUAUCAAGGACAAACCGUGACAUGGAUUCCUAAGUUCCAGCUUACAUAGCAAAUUUAUAUAGAGAGAAUGCCAGCAUUUUGAAAACUCUAUUAAAAGGAUCCUUAUUGUUGCCAAUUUGUCAAGCAUUUAUUGUCAAAUAACUCUUGAAAUGAGACCUUGUGCCAUUUGGCACAAGGUGUAAAGUUAUUGUGCAUCUUAUUGCAGACGCAAGCCUUCAUUCUUU
rnacentral:lncRNA from 1 species